UACGUAGGGUGCGAGCGUUGUCCGGAAUUAUUGGGCGUAAAGAGCUCGUAGGCGGCUUGUCGCGUCGGAUGUGAAAGCCCGGGGCUUAACCCCGGGUCUGCAUUCGAUACGGGCAGGCUAGAGUUCGGUAGGGGAGAUCGGAAUUCCUGGUGUAGCGGUGAAAUGACGCAGAUAUCAGGAGGAACACCGGUGGCGAAGGCGGAUCUCUGGGCCGAUACUGACGCUGAGGAGCGAAAGCGUGGGGAGCGAACAGG
rnacentral:rRNA from 1 species